rnacentral:rRNA from 1 species
UACGUAGGGUGCGAGCGUUAAUCGGAAUUACUGGGCGUAAAGCGUGCGCAGGCGGUUUUGUAAGUCUGACGUGAAAUCCCCGGGCUUAACCUGGGAAUUGCGUUGGAGGCUGCAAGGCUGGAGUCUGGCAGAGGGGGGUAGAAUUCCACGUGUAGCAGUGAAAUGCGUAGAUAUCAAGUGGAACACCAGUGGCGAAGGCGAAUCCCUGGAAAAUACCUGACACUGAGGCACGAAAGCUAGGGGAGCAAACAGG